rnacentral:rRNA from 1 species
AACGAACGCUGGCGGCGCGUCUUAAGCAUGCAAGUCGAACGGCAAGAGAGGAGCUUGCUUCUCUCCUAGAGUGGCGGACUGGUGAGGAACACGUGGGUAAUCUACCCUUAAGAUGGGGAUAGCUGCUAGAAAUAGCAGAUAAUACCGAAUACACUCAAUUUUUCAUAAGAGGAGUUGAGGAAAGAGGCUACGGCCUCGCUUAAGGAUGAGCUUGCGUCCCAUUAGCUAGUUGGUGAGGUAAAGGCUCACCAAGGCGACGAUGGGUAUCCGGCCUGAGAGGGUGAACGGACACAUUGGGACUGAGAUACGGCCCAAACUCCUACGGGAGGCAGCAGCUAAGAAUAUUCCGCAAUGGACGGAAGUCUGACGGAGCGACGCCGCGUGGAUGAAGAAGGCUGAAAAGUUGUAAAAUCCUUUUGUUGAUGAAGAAUAAGGGUAAGAGGGAAUGCUAGCCUGAUGACGGUAAUCGGCGAAUAAGCCCCGGCUAAUUACGUGCCAGCAGCCGCGGUAACACAUAAGGGGCGAGCGUUGUUCGGAAUUAUUGGGCGUAAAGGGCAUGUAGGCGGUUAUGUAAGCCUGAUGUGAAAUGCCGGGGCUUAACCCCGGAACAGCAUUGGGUACUGUAUAACUUGAAUUACGGAAGGGAAACUGGAAUUCCAAGUGUAGGGGUGGAAUCUGUAGAUAUUUGGAAGAACACCGGUGGCGAAGGCGGGUUUCUGGCCGAUAAUUGACGCUGAGAUGCGAAAGUGUGGGGAUCGAACAGGAUUAGAUACCCUGGUAGUCCACACCGUAAACGAUGUACACUAGGUGUUGGGGCAAGAGCUUCAGUGCCAAAGCAAACGCGAUAAGUGUACCGCCUGGGGAGUAUGCCCGCAAGGUGAAACUCAAAGGAAUUGACGGGGCCCGCACAAGCGGU